rnacentral:rRNA from 1 species
AGCUCAGCGUGUAGCCUCGGGGAUGCCCUCCAAGUGAGUGUGUUAAUCCUACGAUGGGAUGCCACGUAUGGGAGAAUGCUUGAAGAGUCUGCGACCCGGCAAUCCGAACUGUUUGAUGAAACAUUGCCCAUAGAGGGUGUUAGGCCCGUAGGACCUGGUGUCGUGACUUUUCGUGGCUUUCUCUCGAGAGUCGGGUUGUUUGAGAAUACAGCCUUAAGAGGUGGGAAACUCCAUCUAAAGCUAAAUAUUACUGCGAGACCGAUAGCGAACAAGUACCGUGAGGGAAAGUUGAAAAGGACUCUGAAGAGAGGGUUCAAGAGAGCGUGAAACUGCCACGGGGAUAAAGCGGAUACAUUAGCGUAGUCGAAAAGGGAGAUACAACUCGUUGGCCGUCGACCUCUCUCGGGUUUAUACAAUUGCAUAGAGUUUCGUCGGACUUUGGUUCGCAGGUUACGUUGCAAGAGUUGCCCUUGAGUUUCAAGCGUACGUUCACCAACGAGUCUACUUCACACCUUAGUAGGCCGUCGCGACGGUUGGAGAGUUGUCUAAGGCUUGAAGGGUCGCGGGAACCUUUCGUCGCGGAUUCGGUAUUUAUAUCGUUUUUCUGCCGACGAAGGGGGACGCUUUCUUGAAUUUACUGGCGGACUUUCCGACCGGAGAAAAAGACGUUGCGUCCCUCUAUACGAGGGAGUGAACGUGAGUGCGGCGCUUAUAGCGACCAAUUUAUCCGUCCCGUCUUGAAACACGGACCAAGGAGUCUAACAUGUACGCGAGUCAAAGGGUCUACUAAACCCCUAGGCGUAAUGAAAGUAAAAUGGAUUGAUCCGUGCUAAUUUAACCGGCGCAAAUCCGGGACCCGUCUUACUGCUUUUCUUCGGAAUCGUUCAAGUGGCGGGUACCUCGAGCGUACAUGUUGGUACCCGAAAGAUGGUGAUCUAUGCUUGGCCGGGAUGAAGCCAGA